CCCUGUAUCGAAAGUGAUCAUGGCUUCCUGUAGCCAGGUCAUUGAUAGUACAGGAAGAUGAACCUGUGAGCCUUUCCCGUGUCUGAGGGAUGAUCACUUCCUGUCAGACCCUGGUGCUCGCAGACA